GAUGGUGCUGAUGUAGCAUUUGUACAAUAUCUUCUACAUUUGCCGCUCAAAGUCACCUAUUGCAAGACUGCAAAAGAGUACCUAGGCAAAGUGUUUUAUACUUUAAAACGUCAAACGCGUAUGUAUUUUUAUUAUCAACUUUGAAGAAAUAUGAAGGAGAUAAGACCGCGACGCGCGCAAUAUCCGGAGCGGGUUGGCAGCCCUGCACGGCCACUGACGUCACGCGCCCGUUGACGUCACACGCCCUUCAUUGAGGUGUUUAUUGAGAGAGAGGCUCAGCCGCGCUCGCAGAUGAUCUCGACGACGCCGGGCUCCAUGAGCACGGGGUCCAGGCAGCGGUGCACCGCGCUGCCCAGGAUCUCGUCCAGCAGGAAGUGCACCAGGCUGCGAACCAACCACGGCCACCAGGUCAGGCCGCCCCAUUCCUCCAUCCCUCUUGCCGGCGUAACUCGCAAACACACAGCAUGCAGUCUUCCAAGUCAUGCACGUUUCCAAGUUGCGAUAGUUGUAAGAUGUGUUUUCUAAGUCAUGUGGUUUGGCAUUGUAUGUAUCUAAGUUUUGUGUUUUUUUAAGUUAUUGUAGUUCUAAAUCGUGUUUUCUAAGUUAUGUGGUUUGGCAUUGUAUGUUUCUGAGUUUUGUUUUUUUAAGUUAUUAUAGUUCUAAAGUGUGUUUUCUAAGUUAUGUGGUUUGGCAUUGUAUGCAUCUAAGUUUUGUGUUUUUAAGUUAUUAUAGUUCUAAAGUAUGUUUUCUAAGCUAUGUGGUUUGGCAUUGCAUGUUUCUAAGUUAUUUCUAAGUUGUGUAUGUUCUAAGUUAUCAUUUUCUAAGUUACAAAAAUUCUAAGUUGUAUUUUUCUGAGUUAUGAUCGUUAUAACUUAUGACAGUUCUAAGUUACGUGGAUUUUUUUUUUUUUUAGAGAAUUCUAAGAUACGAGUGUUCCAAGUUGUGUGUUUCUAAGUUAUGUGUAGAUCCCGCUCCCGCUUCCCUGCAGCCACCAGCUUGGGUCCACGCGCCUCGUCUGUUUACUGCGUUCCCAAGCCGCUAUAACAGUGUUUUCAUCAUAAUGCAGGCUUAACUCUUUUCUGCUGACUUCUUUACACUUCUACUUUGAUUUUUAAAAUAAAAUAAAAAUCAAGCCGUACACUUGUGAUGUACUGAUCUGAAUACACACAAAUUUUAAUCAGGGUUAAGAAAUUAUCACUCACAAAAUAAGCAUCACAGAUAAAAUUAACAAUGUAAAAAAAUGCUACUAAUAGUUGGUAAUACUUAAACGUAUUAAAUUUUAAAAAAAAUCUUAAAUUUUUGAGAAAUAGUUUUUUUUGAGUAACGUAAUUUUAUUUAAUUUCUAUUUGUUAGUUGAGAUAACAGGCUGAAUGUCGAAUAAUGUACUGUAUUCACCCGAAAAUAAGUCUACCCUGAAUGUAAUCGACCCCCAAUUAUGCAAGUGAAGGUUCCAAGAAAAAUUAUUAACGUACCUACCUUUUUCCUUUCCUUCCUCAGUAGCACGUCGCUGCACUAAAUCUCCGAGAAAAAAAUUAGUCCAAAAAUUUUUUUUUUAUAAUCUUGUCCGAAUCUCUGUGAGGAUUAAAAAUAUUUAACGUCAUUAGUAAUGCUUCUAUUCAAUGCAAAUUAAAAAAAGCAAAAACAAUUUUUGCAAUUAAACAAAUUUUUUUUAAACGUAGUUUGCUCCAGUUAUAAGAUGACCCCCCGAUACUUUGGGUGGUCUUUCGAUGAAAAACUCUCGUCUUAUUUUCAGGUGAAUAUGGUAUAUUCAGAAUGCAUAUCCAGACAAUAAUUCCCCCCCCCCCCUCCUCCCGCAUCAGAACAAGAACAUUCCUAGUAAGCAUGGAGGCCGCAGAAGGAGGGGCAACGUCCCUGUACUCACUUCUCAU